rnacentral:rRNA from 1 species
AUUGAACGCUGGCGGCAUGCCUUACACAUGCAAGUCGAACGGCAGCACGGGAGCAAUCCUGGUGGCGAGUGGCGAACGGGUGAGUAAUAUAUCGGAACGUGCCCAGUCGUGGGGGAUAACGUAGCGAAAGCUACGCUAAUACCGCAUACGAUCUACGGAUGAAAGCGGGGGAUCGCAAGACCUCGCGCGAUUGGAGCGGCCGAUAUCAGAUUAGCUAGUUGGUGGGGUAAAAGCUCACCAAGGCGACGAUCUGUAGCUGGUCUGAGAGGACGACCAGCCACACUGGAACUGAGACACGGUCCAGACUCCUACGGGAGGCAGCAGUGGGGAAUUUUGGACAAUGGGCGAAAGCCUGAUCCAGCCAUGCCGCGUGCAGGAUGAAGGCCUUCGGGUUGUAACUGCUUUUGUACGGAACGAAAGACUCUUUCUAAUAAAGAGGGUCCAUGACGGUACCGUAAGAAUAAGACACCGGCUAACUACGUGCCA